rnacentral:rRNA from 1 species
UUGUGUUGAAGUUGGAUAUCUUCCAAGGAUGGAGGAAGCUUCAAGCAUUGAUAGUUAUCAUACAUAUUCAUUAUCUAAAUUAUUUGACAAAGAAGAGAUUCUAACCAUUAGAGAUUUGAUGAAAUAGAUGUGUGAAGACAGAAAUGUGAACAGGGGCAAAAGACUAAUCGAACCAUCUAGUAGCUGGUUUCCUCUGAAUUUUCCCUCAGGAUAGUUGGACCUCAUGUGCGAGUUUUAUCGGGUAAAGAAAAUGAUUAGAAGCAUCGGGGGUGUAAUUCCCUCGACCUAUUCUCAAACUUUAAAUAGGUAAGAUGGUGUGACUGCGCCAUUGAGCCAUGCCAUGGAAUCGAGAGCUCCAAGUGGGCCAUUUUUGGUAAGCAGAACUGGCGAUGUGGGAUGAACCAAAAUUCGAGUUACAGUGCCAAACUGCAUGCUAACCCAGAUCCCACAAAGGGUGUUGGUUGAUUAAUACAGCAGGAUGGUGGUCAUGGAAGUCAAAAUCCACUAAGGAGUGUGUAACAACUCACCUGCCGAAUCAACUAGCCCUAAAAAUGGAUGGCACUAAAGUGUGCAACCUAUACUCGACCGUCAGAGCAAUUGCCAGGCUUCGAUGAGUAGGAGGACGUGGGGGUCUUUGAGAAACCUUGGGCAUGAGCCUGGGUGGACCGGUCCCUAGGGCAUGAGAACUUUGAAGACUAAAGUGGGGAAAGGUUCCAUGUGAACAACACUUGGACAUGGGUUAGUCGAUCCUAAGAGAUGGGGAAGCCCUGUAUCAAGGGUGCACUCUACACGGACAUCGAAAGGGAAUCGGGUUAAUAUUCCCAAACUAGGACAUGGUGACGGAUGAAAACUUUAGGAAAUAUGGAGACAUCAUCAGGGGACCUGGGAAGAGUUAUCUUUUCUUUUUAACAGCUUGCCCACCCUAAAAUCAGCUCAACCGGAGAUAGGGUCCAGCAGCUGGAAGAGAAUCGCACGUCUUGCGUUGUCCGGUGUGUCCUCGGCGACCCUUGAAAAUCAGGAGGACCGAGUACCAUCAAUGCCCGGUCGUACUCAUAACCGCAUCAGGUCUCCUAGGUGAACAAACUCUGGUCAAUAGAACAAUGUAGGUAAGGGAAGUCGACAAAACAGAUCCGUAACUUUGGGAAAAGGAUUGGCUCUGAGGGCUGGGCCUAGGGGUCUGCGUCCUCAACCUGUGGGUUGUCAGCAGUCUGCCCGAGCUGCUAUCGUGGCGAGGGAAGGAAGUCACGUGCCGAUUGGGCUACGGAUGUAGAAUGUCCCCUCACAGGGGCUUUUCCCUAGGCGAUGAAGAGUCGACUUAGAACUGGUACGGACAAAGGGAAUUCGACUGUUUAAUUAAAACAAAUAAUUACGAUGGUCCCUAUGGAUGCUGACGCAAUGUGAUUUCUGCCCAGUGCUCUGAAUGUCAAAUUGAAGAAAUUCAACCAAGCGCGGGUAAACGACGGGAGUGACUAUGACUCUCUUAAGGUGGCCAAAUGCCUCGUCAUCUAAUUAGUGACACACAUGAAUGGAUUAAUGAGAUUCCCACUGUCCCUAUCUACUAUCUAGCAAAACCACAGCCAAGGGAACGGGCUUGGUAGAAUCAACGGGGAAAGAAGACCUUGUUGAGCUUGACUCUAGUCCAACUUUGUGAAAUGACUUGAGAGGUGUAGAAUAAGUGGGAUCCAUUUUCGGUGCAAGUGAAAUACCACUACUUUUAACAUUAUUUUACUUAUUCCAUGGGGUGGAGGUGGGGAAUUGCCCCUAUUUUUGGCCUUAAGACAUGUUUCGACGGGUCGAUCUGGGCAGAAGACUUUGUCAGGUGGGGAGUUUGGCUGGGGCGACACAUCUGUUAAAAGAUAACGUAGGUGUCCUAAGAUGAGCUCAACAAGAACAUAAAUCUCGUGUGGAACAAAAGGGUAAAAGCUCAUUUGAUUUUGAUUUUCAGUGCGAAUUCAAACCGUGAAAGCAUGGCCUAUUGAUCCUUUAGACUUUUGGAAUUUGAAGCUAGAGGUAUCAGAAAAGUUACCACAGGGAUAACUAGCUUGUGGCAGCCAAGAAUUCAUAGCGACAUUUCUUUUUUAUCCUUCAAUGUCGGCUCUUCCUAUCACUGUGAAGAAGAAUUCACCAAGUGUUGGAUUUUUCACCCACCAAUAGGGAACGUGAGCUGGGUUUAGACCGUCAUGAGACAAGUUAGUUUUAACCAACUGAUGAACCACGCCACAAUAGUAAUUCAACUUAGUAAAAGAGGAACCAUUGAUUCACACAAUUGGUCAUCGUUCUUGGUUGAAAAGCCAGUGGCGCGAAGCUACCGUGUGUCAGAUUAUGACCGAACGCCUCUAAGCCAGAAUCCACGAUAGAAGUGGCACUUGUCACUCCUCGAAUGUAUCUUGACCUACAGUAGGGCUGUUUCUUUGGCACCCCCAGGGGCCCAUGUCACUUGCGAACCUCGACCAGGAAGCGUCUCGGUCAGGGCAGCUUUGAAGUUCAAUUUUAAACGGUCGUUGAGAAGAAUCCUUUGCAGACGACUUAAAUAUGUGACGAGGUAUUGUAAGUGGUAGAGUGGCCUUACUUCCAUGAUCCACUGAGAUUGAGCCCUUUGUCACCUACAUUCAGAGCCUAUGCUCAUC